GGGAAAAGGGCGCGCGCGGAGAGAAAGGAGAGCCGGGGCAGCUUCACUCCUGUGCCACAGGACCUCGGACCUGUAAGGAGCUGCUCACCAGGGGGCACCUUCUGAGCGGCUGGCACACCAUCUACCUGCCCGACUGCCGGCCGCUGACCGUGCUG